rnacentral:rRNA from 1 species
UACAGAGGGUGCAAGCGUUGUCCGGAAUUAUUGGGCGUAAAGAGCUCGUAGGCGGUGUGUCACGUCGGCCGUGAAAACCUGCAGCUUAACUGUGGGCGUGCGGUCGAUACGGGCAUCACUGGAGUUCGGCAGGGGAGACUGGAAUUCCUGGUGUAGCGGUGAAAUGCGCAGAUAUCAGGAGGAACACCGAUGGCGAAGGCAGGUCUCUGGGCAUUAACUGACGCUGAGGAGCGAAAGCAUGGGGAGCGAACAGG